rnacentral:lncRNA from 1 species
CGAGGAGCCCGAUGUGGGACUCGAUCCUGGAACGCCAGGAUCACGCCCUGAGCCGAAGGCAGACGCUUAACGACUGCGCUACCCAGGCGCCCCCUUUUCUCUAUAAUCUUAUCAAAUAAAUGCAUUAGGCUAUGCACGUGCACAGUGCAGUGAUAGGAAAUGUAGGGGACAGGAAGGAAAUGUGGUUUAAAUAGAGCUGGGAGCAUGCAGCAGGAGAAAAAGCCCAACUCUGGUCUCCCCGGAGGCUCCUCCUCACUCCCUUCCCCCCACGCCCCUCCCUGGCCUGAAGGAGGCAGAGACAGAAGGAAGGGAGACUGUGGGCAGGCAGGAAGGGGGACUGGGGACAGCAGAGCUAAGCUGAAGUGAGCACAGGGACUGGAAAGAGGCAGCAGGAGCCUGGGGGAGAAGGAAAACCUACAGAAAGGAGGGUCUCCCCCAAAGGGACCAAGGGCCAGUGAGGGGGGAAACGGAAAGGGAAGGGCCGAGGGGCUGACGGCGUCCCACCCCAGGACCCUUCCAGCACCUGUGUGCAGGCCACACCAGGGCUCACAGGCCUCCCUGGGGUCCCUGAGUCCUCCCAGCAUCCUGGGAACUCUGUGGUGGGAAAGGAGACAGGCAGCUUCCCUGCAGGGAGCAGAAGACCCCACCACCACCACACAUGCCCCCUGUCUGUCUCCUUGCCCUAGGGGUACACUGAAAUUGUCCCCAGUGUCACCUACGCCAGUACCCUGCCCCCACACUCACCACAGGCCAGAAUCCUCCCUCUGGGGACUGGCUGGCACUCCUCACCAGCCCGGCCAGGCCACUGACCCCCAGGAGGCCCCUGUGCCCGGUGCCAGCUCCGGGCCAUCUGUGGGGAUGACCAGUGCUGGGGUCCAGGCUACAAAGUCCUCAGGCAGGGGGCUCUGUGCUCAAGUCAGGGACAUAGGCAUUCUGGGCACAUUCAGAACCAGGGCUCCGGGAAAUGGACCAUGGGACCCGGCAGCCCCCGUGUGCUUUCAGCUUCCCCAGAAUGUUCUCCAAGCAUGUGGGCCACAUUUCCACAUGAUAAGAUUCCCGCCCAUGGGGAAGGCAAGACUGGUUUGGUCCUUCACUGUGUCCCCCAGCCAUUCAACAGCACCCAGGAGCCCCGACUCACAGUCCCACGCUAGGGGGAACCUGGGAGGCAAGGAUGGGCCAGGCACUGUCCUGUCCUCAAGGAGAUCUCAGUCUGGAGCAGACAGGGGAGGACCCAGUAACCACACCUCUCCAUCCCCCAGAGCCCCCCUCUACCUGCCCAUGGACUCCAAAGUCUGGACUUGGCCCCUCCAGCCGAGGGGACAACUCAG